rnacentral:tRNA from 1 species
GUUGUUUGGUCGAGUGGCUAAGGCGUGCACCUAAUGUUUUCCCGCAGUGAGAGUUCGAAUCUCUCAGGCAACA